GAGCAGAGAGACACUGUCAUACUUUAUGAAUCCCAGACUGAAGAUAUGGGUCAAGUGUCAAAGUUGGAUUCAGAGCAAGAUACAGAGACGUCAUGCCCUCUGGAGAGAACAGAGAUACAGUGAAUGACUCAGAAAAACCAAACUAAAACACAUUCAAGCAGACGAGCCACCAAGCCCCAAGUCAUGAGAAACAGCUUUAAUGUCGGAGUGCGGAACAUGUUUGCAGCUAUCAAGCGUCUUCAUGGAAUCUUCGAUCUCGCGCUGAGCAUCUUGGAUUUAACGAGCAGCCUCCGCCGUGGAAUGAGACAAGCGAUUACAGUGU